UUGGGAUUCUCGCCAAACCAUUUGCCCUUCGUUGAGAUCCCAUUGCUGCUGCUGCUACUACUGGCGCUGUUCGAGCUACUGCUGCGACGUUCGGGAAUCUUCAGCUGAAACGAAUUGUACAAGUCACCAGCGGCACUCGAGCCAGGAUUCACCGCCAUAAUCAGGUGCAUAAGGACGAUCCAGCAGAUCAGGGCGUGGCGUGCGAAGAUUGUUUUCCUCAUCAUUAACAAAAGGGCUUAUCACGCUGACCUGCAGAUUCGCAGCGUAGUUGCUCUCCGCCUUGGAGCAGUUGACCAUGUACCAGUGAUCGCAGAUGAGCAUGCGCUGCUGGAAGAGCGUCGUGUUCGGGCAAGUGUAACUGAACUGCCUUCCUAGGCCAUCGCACAUGUGAUACACCUAAGAGAUGUGAGCGUGAUUAGAUUGUGAAUAACUUGAGCUGCUUGAUGUGUUUGUUUAUGCACCUGACAGCCUGUCUCCACGUCCGCAUAGUAGCCAGCGGGGCGACCUGAGCACGAGAACGAAGUCUUCUGCAUCUGACGUGGGCCAUUCGAGACUGUGUUGGCAUUUUGGCACUGUGAAAGCAAUAAAUCGAAUUAGUUUUCUACUUAAUUACGGUUGAUAUAGACAAAACUACUAUUUCAUAAUAAUAGAUUUAAAUUCAUUUUACUAUUUAGUUUUCAAUUGGCAUUCAUGUUUUCUUAGAAACUAGAUUUUGGAGCUGAUCUUUGUCCAAAAAAGGCAAACACAAGCGUGUGUUCACCUUGAAAGUGAAAUGUGUUUCUAAUCAGCUUUUCAAUUCAUAUUAUAUGUGAUACUUAAAAGUAUUGUUAUUCCUACAGAUUAGUUCUUUUGUAUUUUUUUUUUAGAGUUUUCUUUUCGAUUAAUUGAAAUUCUUGGAAAUGAGCGAAAUAUUUGGAAUUGAUCUCUAGACAAAAAAGGAAAAUACAUUGAUUUUGCUACCAGUUGUUUAUUCAAUUUAUUGAUUGACUCAGAUAAACUAUUUGAUCUGAUCUUAAGCGUGUGCAUGAAAUGUAUUUCUAAUCAGCAACUUACUUAAUAUGAUAUUUAUAAAUAUGACUAUUAUUAUAGAGAAGCUCUCUUUUAUUUGUUUUAUUAGUUUUCCAUUCAAUUACUCACUUCUAGAAAAUCUGAGAAACUUUUAGAACUGAUCUUUGAAUAAAAAAAGAGCAAAUUGUCUCACCAAUUGACGACUCAACUAAUAUGAGUUGUGGUACUUUUGAAUAUUGAUGAGAGCUUUCAUUUCAAUUAAUCACUUCUUGGAAACUAGAGUAUUAUUUGAAUAAGAAGAUUCGAGAAUGAAAUUAUGUUUAAAAGCUACUGAAUUCAUACUUAAAUUUAGCUGCAUUGUAAUACUUAUAAGUUUUGCUGAUAUUUUUCAAGGUGUUUUCUUUUAAAUGAUCAUUUAUUCGAAAUCAAUGCAACUUUUAUAAUUAACCUUUGGACAAAAUGGGCAAUAAUAUCACUUAAUAGUUGACGAGGAUGUUAAAUUAAUAUAUCUUAAAUAUUUCUAUUCAAUGAAUCACAGCUUGAAAAUUCGCAAAACAUUUGUAACUGGCAAAAAUUUAUAAAUAUAAAUUAAUGACCAUGACAGUGAAAUUUUACUAUAAUCAUCGAUUACAAUUAGAAUCUAAAAUAAGAUGCAUUGUAAUAUGUAGUUAUAAUUACAGGUACAAAUAUGACUACUUCAUGGAAAUCAAUGAAAUAUUUCACCUUGAGAGUACAAAUUUUUUCUAAUCAGCGCAGUGCUGAGUGCAUACAUGAGAAUGGACGUACAUACGUGGGUUUUCUCAAGCGGAAAAGCUAUUAGCGCAUCAAAACAAAUGAUACCCGUGGAUGAUCAAUAUCUUUGGCAUGAGUACUAAAACGAGUACUCGUUGCUGCCGCCGGCUGUGGUCCGACCAACUGAUGAAUUGAAGUGAUGUCAUAACUUGGCACAUGCUGCCACGGCUGCUUGCAACACACGUACAUACGUUCAAUGCGAUGCGACCUGCUGCUAUUGUGUGAAAUGUCAACUUUGUGUACACCUCGAGAUCUCU